rnacentral:rRNA from 1 species
GACGAACGCUGGCGGCGUGCUUAACACAUGCAAGUCGAGCGGUAAGGCCUUUCGGGGUACACGAGCGGCGAACGGGUAGUCACACGUGGGUGAUCUGCCCUGCACUUCGGGAUAAGCCUGGGAAACUGGGUCUAAUACCGGAUAUGACCUCCUAUCGCAUGGUGGGUGGUGGAAAGAUUUAUCGGUGCAGGAUGGGCCCGCGGCCUAUCAGCUUGUUGGUGGGGUAAUGGCCUACCAAGGCGACGACGGGUAGCCGACCUGAGAGGGUGACCGGCCACACUGGGACUGAGAGACGGCCCAGACUCCUACGGGAGGCAGCAGUGGGGAAUAUUGCACAAUGGGCGAAAGCCUGAUGCAGCGACGCCGCGUGAGGGAUGACGGCCUUCGGGUUGUAAACCUCUUUCAGCAGGGACGAAGCGCAAGUGACGGUACCUGCAGAAGAAGCACCGGCUAACUACGUG